UUUCACAGUUCUCAAGGCUGGACAGUCCAAGAUCAAGGUGCCUGCAUCUGGCGUCUAGUGUGGACCCUAUUCCUGGUUUGCAGCAUUGUUGGUGCUCUGAGGGUGUCAGCCAGGCCACUCAUGCAGACCAUUGCGGCAGCACUGAAAAUGGAAGAAAGAUGGGAUUCUGCUGUCUUUUGUUUUGGCUGAUGAACAGCACCGAGAUGGAGUGGCUCCAGCAGCCAGAACAAGCCACCAUCUCCCCUGGGCUUUCACAGUAGCCUCCUGACUGGUCUUGUUGCUUCGACACUUACACUUCCUGUUCUCUGCAAGGCAGCCAGAGUGACCUUUCACUAAUCCUUGUAUGACCUCUGAAAAUAUGACCUGAAGCAGAUGGAUGCACUCACAUAAGAAACAUCACCUGUGGCCUUCAUUGAAAAUGGGCCUGCUGCUCAAAGAAGUUGGGCUCUUGGAGUUCUCUAGCACAGGGGCCAUGAAAAUCAAUGACUUCCUUGUUUGCUGAUGGAGCAGAGGUAGAAUCUCUUGGUGUUUCCACAGAGAAAACACUGACCAUGAAGAGCCAAGAAAGAUGACAUGAUGAAGCCAUCAGGGGAAGCACCAAACAUCCUCAACUCUGCUCACCCAUGGUUUUCUCCCACCCUCCCAGAGCUCCUCCUGCUGGCCUUCAUUGGCAUCACCAGCACUGGAGCUAUUCCAGUGAGGAUUUUUGCUGCGGCACAUCACGGAGUGGCAUGAGAGGUCAGAGAACUCCUAGUAUCCCCCAAAUAUCCAUUCUGCUCUUCUUCCUUAGUGAUGGGCCCCCGACAUGAAACUGGCACUCAGAAUGAAGAAUGCCUUUUCCAGCCUCUCUCGCUGGUGGAGUCUCCGUGUUCCAGCCAAUGAAUCUUUACUCUAAGCAAUUUGCCAAGACAGAGAAUCUCACUGGCCUGGUGGGGCUGAGCCUUCCUUCACUGGCUGACCAACCGGGAAGUGGGCUGCUGCUUGGAUCAGGAGAAAGAAUUGUGCCAUGAAAAAUGGAAAACUCCUGAGAAGCUGUUCCAGCGUCAGGAGAGCAGCAGACAAGCUGGACUGGGGAAGAUUCUUCUGCAAGACCUGCAGAGUGUAUGACACAUAACCAGCACCCAAGAAAUGUCUACCGAGGAAUUAAUGAAUGAGGAAAUACCUCUGUACACUCACCAGACACUGGCUGCUGGGUGUCAUGGUGCUAAGAGCUGUGGGAAACAUGAAGGGCAAUGAGACCAGGUCCCUGCUCUGAGGAGACGUGUGCCAGCGAAGUUUCUCUCCCACUCUUCCUCAGGCACCAGUCUAUGUUUCUAGUAAAAACUUGCUUGGCCACUUGUGUAGAAAGAGGAAUUAAUUUAAUAUUUGAAUACUCAGCUGACUGGUUCUCCGUGGGAGCAAGUAGCCAAGAAAAUAUCCAAGAGAGAACGAGGGAAGGGACAAAAUGGCACCAAGCCUGAAUUGUGAAGUCCUCUAUCAUCCUGCAACACCCUGGAUAUGCAAACCGAAUAUCUUCUCUCUUGCCCAAGAGUGGAUUGGCAGGAAGGGUGCAGGACCUAACCCAAUGACAAUGCUCGCAGGAGGAGCCCUCCAGAAGGC
rnacentral:lncRNA from 1 species